GGGGUUGUGACUCAGAGGUAGAGUGCUCACCUAGCAUGCGUGAGGCACUGGGUUCAAUCCUCGGCACCACA
rnacentral:tRNA from 1 species